ACCUCUUUAUUCACCUCUCUUUCA
rnacentral:siRNA from 1 species